rnacentral:rRNA from 1 species
AGACUUUUUAUUUGAUGCUUGCAUCUUUUAAAAAGUUGAGUGGCGAACGGGUGAGUAACACGUGGGUAACCUGCCUUAAAGUGGGGGAUAACACUUGGAAACAGGUGCUAAUACCGCAUAACCAUCAAAACCGCCUGGUUUUGAUGUUAAAGAUGGUUCUGCUAUCGCUUUAAGAUGGACCCGCGGCGUAUUAGCUAGUUGGUGAGGUAAUGGCUUACCAAGGCAAUGAUACGUAGCCGAACUGAGAGGUUGAUCGGCCACAUUGGGACUGAGACACGGCCCAAACUCCUACGGGAGGCAGCAGUAGGGAAUCUUCCACAAUGGACGAAAGUCUGAUGGAGCAACGCCGCGUGAGUGAAGAAGGUUUUCGGAUCGUAAAACUCUGUUGUCAGAGAAGAACGUGUGUGAGAGUAACUGUUCACGCAGUGACGGUAUCUGACCAGAAAGUCACGGCUAACUACGUGCCAGCAGCCGCGGUAAUACGUAGGUGGCAAGCGUUGUCCGGAUUUAUUGGGCGUAAAGGGAACGCAGGCGGUCUUUUAAGUCUGAUGUGAAAGCCUUCGGCUUAACCGAAGUCGGGCAUUGGAAACUGGCAGACUUGAGUGCAGAAGAGGAGAGUGGAACUCCAUGUGUAGCGGUGAAAUGCGUAGAUAUAUGGAAGAACACCAGUGGCGAAAGCGGCUCUCUGGUCUGUAACUGACGCUGAGGUUCGAAAGCGUGGGUAGCAAACAGGA